rnacentral:misc_RNA from 1 species
GUGAAUCAUCAAAUUUUUGAACGCAAAUUGAACUCUCUGGUAUUCCGGAGAGUAUGCCUGUUUGAGGGUCAGUUUAAAUAAAAAUAGGUGUGGUUGGUGCCUUUCGUGGUGAUGCACCGGAUUUGGGUCGUCUUGCCUUCGGUUAAGUGACCUAAAAUUUUGCAUGAUUUUUUUCGAACGUAUUUAAAUGAUUUUACGUACGUUUGCGAUAUCGAAUAAUAGGUGUGGUCGUACUAAUGAUUCGCGCGUAUAAUUUUUCAUCAAUAUGACAUCAAGUCAGGUAUGAGUAUCCGCUUGACUU